CCAGCCAGGGUACCUCAAACUCUCCCUACACUUGGUGUCUCUCCUGCCUCUCUUUUCUCUCUCUCUCUCUCUUUUUUUUUCUGGUUUCUAUUGGGCCCAUCUGGAUAAUCCAGGAUUAUCUUUCUAUUUUAAGAUCAGCAGAUUAGUGGCUUAAUUACACCCACAAAGCCCCUCGAAGCAACAGUGCCUAGAUUUGUGUUAGAAUCACCAGGGCGGCCUGGGAGGCUUCUUUAGAUGUCCUGCAUGGAGGCAUCGGCAGCAUCUGGUGCCCCCAGCUUCUUGCUGCAGUCUUAAAGGCAGCUGAUUCCACCUUUAAAACGUAUCCAGAGUCCAGCCACAGCAGACGACCUCCCUGGCCACCUCAUGGCCUUCCCGCCUCGUGCUUCUUCUGGGUUGCCCUUCAUCAGGUGCCCAACUCAUUAAAAAUAAAAGCCACGAUCUGGCCCUGUGUUCUCUCCCCGACCUCACCUGCCCUCCCAGGCUCCCUUCACCCCAGGCACACCCGGCCUUCUUUUUGUUCCUUGAGCAGGCAGGGCCUGUCCCAACCCCAGGGCCUUUGCACAGGCUCUUCUCUCUUACUCCAGUUAUCUGGUGUGGAAUGAGAUAGAAUGGUGUUACUCUGGUUCAGACCUCUAAAAUGUGGUUGAGAAGCCAUCCUUCGAAGGACUACCUGCACGGCCGCAACCCUGCCAACAAGAGCUUGCUUGAACCUUCGCAUUGGGUCCCACGGACACAACCGUAACAUCCUGGAGAAUUUGCCGGCGCUGUGACUCCUGAACAGCGACAACCAAUGAAAUGUGGACUCAUGUACUAUGCCAGCUGCUUGCGCCAAUGGCAAUUCUUUCAAAACAACUUGUGUAACCACCCUCAGCAUCCUUUUCAAAACCCCUACUCCCCUUCCUCUCCCGAGAGCACAGUUUGGUUUCUAGCUGAAUCUGUGUCUCCUGAUUGCCAAUUCCUGAGACCCCCAAACGUGCCUUGUCCUACUGCUUUGCAGUCUGGUCCUGUGCUUCUUCUCGGUUGACACGUGGCUUUCUCCCUGAACGAUUCAGGUCUCUGCUCAAUUUCACAUCAUUGAGGCCUUCCCUGAGUAUCCCACUUAUUACAGCAUCUGCCCCCUACUCCCAGGCUCCAUCCUCCAAUCUCACUGUUUUCUCUCUGGAGCACUUCACAGCACCUGAUAUGCUGUUUAUCUUUACUUACGUAUUUCACUUAAAGACACUUUCAUGUCCAUUAGCCAUUUCUGGGGAGGCAGAGAACUCUAUCUGUUGCCUGGGAUAACCCCAGUGCCUGGGAUAGGGCCUGGCUCUGAGUAGGUGCUCAUUAAAAUUUGCUGAAUGACUGAA